UAAUGAUAUGCUGUGACAGUAAGUUGUUGUCAGUGAAGACCAAGUCUCUACUGGUGGUUUUCCAAAACUUGUGCAGGACCUGUGUGAACAGAUGCUGAUAUAUUUCCUGCAAGACAAAUGGUCUUCUGUUCCCUGCAAGUGCUGAAGUCGUAUUCUGAACGCAGCAUGACUAACCAGCUAAGGAACUUCCCAACCCAGAAUUAUAAAGGAAGAAGUGGGGCUUUUUGCCUGGCAGUGUAAUAAAAGCUGAACUUGACUG